UGUUGAUAGGCUGUCUUCAACUUGCCAUAUCUGAGAGUUCCAACAUGCAGGCCUGGAUUAAUGUUUUAUCACAACAAAUGGAUGGGACAGUAGAGUUGUUGCGGACAAUAUGUGAUUGUGAUGACCAAGUACUGAACAAGUGGAAGAUUAGAAGAAGGUCCAGAAUUCAAUCAUGUUUUUGAUUCUAAGGCACAGACAGCAUGGAGAUAGUCCUAUUAUUCUCCCAUUCGUCUAUGAUGGAGAAACUUGUGUAAAUGUUUACAGUGUUCUCCCUAAUAAGUGCCCACAAGUCUGUAUUAAUUUAUCAGAAUAUAAAGUCCUUCACAGUACUGACUUUAAAAUUCAUGUAGAUUGUCUCCAGAUUUUUCUGAGGAAAAGUGCAUAGUUUACAUGUGUGAAUUUUGAAUAUAUUUCAUUCUUGUCUGCAAAUGUUGCCGAAACCUGUUAUUGAUGCACAAUGCACAUAGUCAUGUUAUGCAAAUGAUAGACCUCCUUUAAAAUUACAUGUCCUUAAGAUCAUGUCAACUCCUUUGUCUUAAUUGUAUAUACAAUUCUAGCAUUUAUAGCAUCAUUUGUAUAGCACUUGCUAGUUUAAUAAGGAUUUUAUUUUUUAAAAACUUUCAUUUGACAUGAUUGAUCUAAAACGGCCAAAAUUCACAAAUCUAUUUAAAUCACAACCUGACCUUAGGCCAGAAAAGUGCCACAGUGGGUUGAUAUUUUUCUCUUGGAUCUUGAAAGAAAUUCUUUAUGCAGCAGUUUCCAAAUAAAAUGUACUCUCAUGGCCAGGGUGGGACUUCACCGAGAACUUUUUAACACUGCACAAUGCAAUAUUUGUGGAUUAGAAGCUGUUGCAGUUUCUUUAAGUUUUGUCUCACAUCUUGUUAUAAUUAUAUUUUAUAUUUUUGGUCGGGUUUCACAAUGUGCAAACAGUUUAUAAAAUGGUGAAUGACUGGUGGGCAAGCGACAAUAGCGUCCCUGUAAUAGUACCUACUUUGUGUAAUCAACUCCUUUCACACCUCUCACUUGAUGUUCCUCAAACUUUGUACAGUAGUUAGGGAUACAUUGAAGAUGUGCGUGUACCUUUUUGAAAGUGAUCAGACAUUUUUUGAAAAAUUUACAUGUAGUUAAACUUCGUCAUUUUUUAAGCAUUUCUUUAAUCGACAGUACCUAUUUUGUGUAAUCAACUGCUCGUAUACCUCUAAUUUGACAUUCCUCAAACUGUGUACAGUUGUUAUGAAUACAUUGAAGAUGUGCUUAUGUGUUUUUGAAAGUUAUCAGACUUUUUAAAAAAAAAAUGUACAUGUAGUUGAACUUAAGUCAUUUUAAAGCAUUUCUUGAAUAGAUGGUAACUAUUUUGUGUAAUCAAAUCCUCAUGCACCUCUAACUUGACAUUCCUUAAACUUUGUACAGUUGUUGUGAACACAUUGAAGAUGUGCAUGCGUCUUUUUGAAAAUGAUUAGACUUUUCUUUUUCUUUUAAAUUACGUGUCGUUGAACUUGGUCAUUUUUUAUGCAUUUCUUGAAUAGAUGGUACCUAUUUUGUGUGAUCAACUCGUGCACAUCUAAAUUGAUAUUCCUCAAACUUUGUACAGUAGUUAUGGACACAUUGAAGAUGUGCAUGUGUCUUUUUGAAAGUGAUCAGACUUUUUUCAAAAAAAUUACAUUUAGUUGAACUUUGUCAUUUUUUUAAAGCAUUUCCUGAAUAGAUGGUACCUAUUUUUUGUUAUCAACUCCUCUUACAGCAUUUAUUUGACAUUCUUCAGACCUUGAACAGCUGUUAUGGAAGCAUUGGAAAAGUGCAUGUGUCUUUUCGGAAGUGAUCAGGCAUUCUUUGAAAAAUUUACAUGUGCAUGGUGAAGUUGAACUUAGUCAUUUUUUAAGCAUGGUACUUUAUGUAACCAACUCAGCUUUUACUUAACAUUUUCCAGACCCUGUACAUUAUAGAUGUUAUAAAAACAUUGAAGAUACAUGUUAACAUUUUAAAAAUGCUUCUCUUCUUUGUUUUUUUUUUUUUUGGUUGAAAAAUUCUACCUUUAAUUGGUCAUUUUUCCAGUAUGUUUCUACUGUUGUUCCUAUGAUAGAUAACAUAUUUUACAAGAACCUGGUCAUUUCUGUUUUUGAAUCUCUCUUUUUUUUAAUUAGUAUUUUUGAAUAUAUGUUAAUUACUUGAUAUGUCAUUGUUCUUGAAAUUAUAGUAAUUGAAUUAUUA